AAACCCUCACACCUGCGACGUCAAAAUCGCCGGCUGUGGAUUUGGACCGUGCCGUAAUUGGCUCGUCCUUGAAAUGCAUUAGCUUGUGCUCGUUAGAGUGCUCGGCAUGGUGUGAUAAUUAUCUGCGCCGUUAUGCCUUAGGCCUCUUCUGUUGUGCGCUGCUUCUAAUCGUCCCUUGUGGACAACUUACAAUUAAAGCU
rnacentral:misc_RNA from 1 species